CUGGGAAUUUGGGGAAUUCUGGGAUUUGGGGCUGAGCUGGGAGGAGUUUGGGGCUGGUUUUGGGAACUUAGGACUGGUUUUAAGGGAAAUUUGGGGUUGGUUUUGGGAAUUCGGGGCUAUUUUGGGGGAAUUUGUGGUGGAACUGGGGGAGUUUGGGGCUGGUUUAGUGAAUUUGGGGUUGAUUUGGGGUUGGUUUUGGUGAAUUUGGAGCUCUUUAUUGGGGUUUUAGCACUUCAGGGCCAUUUUAGGGUUGGUUUUGGAGAUUUUUGGGGCUGUUUUGGUGGAGUUUGGGGUGGAUUUGGGAUUGGUUUAGUGGAUUUGGGGUUGGUUUUGGUGAAUUUGGAGCUCUUUAUUGGGGUUUUAGCGCUUCAGAGCCAUUUUAGAGUUGGUUUUGGAGCUUUUUAGGGCUGUUUUGGUGGAGUUUGGGGUGGGUUUGGGGCUGAUUUAGUGAAUCUGAGGCAGAUUUGGGAUUGG